CUCUUGCUUCUAAUGUUGGUAUGUUAGCAAAAUAACAAUUAUUACAAAUAUGUUAUGUGAAGUUGAAUAGUGAUGAGAUGUAUACAUACAUCGCAUCUCUUCAAAACUGCUGGGAGAAUAGGACCAAAAAACCUCCUAUUAAUAUUUGCUUGAAUUUCAGAACAAAUACACAUUGUCCAUGCUAUCAUCUUUUCUGUGAGGAAUAUCUAUGAAUAUCCAGGUACCCCUAAACCUCCAACUGCCAGGAGCAGGGACUGGAUGACAGAGGAUGAUCACUCAAAAUUGCCCUGUUCUGUCCAUUCCCUCUGAAGCAUCUGGCACUGGCCACUGUCAGAAGACAGGAUACUUGGCUAGAUGGGCCAUUGGUCUGACCCAGUCUGGCCGUUUUUAUGUUCCUAUCUAAGCAACUGAGUUUUUUUGCACAAAUGUUUGCAGAACAGAAUUUGAAAGUCACGUGUAUAUUUUCAUGCUGGAAGUGCCUGCACCCUGAUUCAUUAAAGGGGGAAAAUACCAGACUCAAGCACUGUUAGAACUAACCUUGAGCUCCUGCAUCUCUGGGAAGUUUUUCCAGCUUUGGAGAAGAUGAACAAGAGUGGAAUCCAGGAAGGGGGCUUGGCAGAUCCCUCUGGGAAGGAACAUAUGCAAAUAUAACAAUUGGAACAAGAAGUCAAGCUGUGUAACAUGCAAAUGUUGCGUCAUCCGGGUUCUUGGCAGACCACUCAGCUUCACCGGAUAAAACUGUGAGGUGGCCAGAGAGAGUCUUCUUUGCAAGGCAGUGUGGCACUGAUAUCACAUACAAGGAUGAUGUUUGAGAGGAGCAACGAAAAAGAUUCGGUAGUUCUAUUUGCAAAAUCUCUAGAGUGAUUUGAUGUGUGAAAAGCCUUGAACUGAUUUUUAAAAGCAAUUUUUGUUUGAUCUGAAGAUUUUGCAGCCAUAUCCUGCCCUAGCCAACAUAGCUAUGGAGAGAAGCAAUACAAGCUGGUGUGUCCUGCCACAACAAUCUAACUAGUCAGAACAGGAUUUCAAAGGAUGCAGUAGGGCACUGCAGUGCAGGGAACAUUUUGCUGCUAUUCCUAGUGAAUGAAAUUCACACCCUUUGCUGAGGGCCAGCAGAGUGCCCAUGCAUCAGGUAAAUCCUGUUUUGAAGUCCAAAUCCUCAGCUGGUAUAAAUUGGCAUAGCUCCAUUGACUGCAAUGUGGUGCACAGAUGUUACGGUAGCUUUGUGCAAAUAAGUGAAUUUCAUCCAUCAUGGGCAAACUGAUCGACAACCUGUUGUCAGCUUGCACUGUCUACUGCUUGGAAACUACACACAUUUCUCUUAGCAGAGAAGAGGCUCUUUACACCGUCUUACUGUCCUUAUACACUAGCACCAGGGCAGAACUUAGUUACUAUAUAGCUGAAGAAACAGUACUUUUUUUUACAAUUAUACACCUCUACCCCGAUAUAACGCGACCCGAUAUAACAUGAAUUCGGAUAUAACACGGUAAAGCAGUGCUCCGGGGGGGCGGGGUUGUGCACUCCGGUGGAUCAAAGCAAGUUUGAUAUAACACGGUUUCACCUAUAACGCAGUAAGAUUUUUUGGCUCCUGAGAACAGCGUUAUAUUGGGGUAGAGGGUGUAUUUAGAAAUUUCCCUGAACCACCCUGGAAAGCAACAGCUUCUAUGGAUAAACAGCUCAUAUCUUAGUAGAUUCCCUCCUGACAGUUGGACAAUACUGAGAAUUUUAUGCAAGUCUGUUGAGAAGAUUCCACAUAAAAAAAGGAUCCCAUGGACUGCAGUAGUAGCUGGGACCCCUUCUCUUCCCUUAAGUGCUAAGAGAGAUUAGGCUGGAGGAUAAUGCACUGGCUGUUCCCCUACACACUUCAAGACUUUCUCUCUUCAUACUACCCUUAGAAUAUAACUCUAUGGUAUAUGUGGUAUAGAGAGUCCCCCUUGCAUGGUCUCUCUGCAGCUCACUCUCUACUGCUCUUUGGGCAUUGCACAACCACAGCAGCAUCUGGUUUAAAUCCUCUUUCGUUGUAUGUCUGUACAGUGCCUAGCACAAGGGGAGGGGUCUGAUCCUGAUUUGGGACUUCUAGGCACUACCAUCAUACAAAUAAAUAAUAAUAAUGACGUGGCUCUGUAACAAAACAAAAACAAAAAGAAAAAAACACCUUCUACAUCCUCACCACCACCAAACUGACUUGACUAUAAGGGGAUUCAACGGUAAACAGUUAGAAAUAUAAAAAAACAAGUCCAUACCAGGGGAACAGUUCCAGGAAACAGCAGCCAGUAUACAAAAAGUUGCAUGUGUCAACUUUACAUGUGGAAUUAAAAGAUCUUAAAGCAACUUCGAAUUCAAAACUGCAAAUUGUACAGAAAAAAAAACCCUUGUGGAGUCACUAAAAUGUCUAAUUCAUUAUUAUUUUAAAAAAAGAUUAAAAAAUAAUUUUUAACAUUAAAGUGCAACCAAGCACUGAAGAAUUUAUGUAAGCUUUCCAUAGGGGGAAAAAAACCCUAAAAUGCUGCAAGGGUAUUGAUGUCUAUUAAAUAUUUACUUUUCUCUCUAGCUCACACUAGAAAGAGUAAUUUGUACUUGGCAGAAACUGGCUGCAAUUACAUUAGUCAAUCCAAAAGCCCAACUUGCUCAUACAAAAUGCAAACAAAUUAGUUAAAAUGGUCUAAUUAGCAGACUGUAAAAAUGCAAAGCAAGUCUGGCAUAAAAAUGUGUGCAAUACAAGUAUACUUUUACAAAAUAAACAGAAAGACAGUUAUGGAAUAGCCUAAUAAAUCCUAUACUAUCAAAGAAACCUUAUGAAAAAUGGCAUAUUUAUUGAUGUUAUAUUUUAGAAAAAAGUUUGUGUGAUUCUAAUUAAAUAUUGUCCUCCAUGCAGCACUAGGACAUGAAAACUGAUUGUUACUGUAACUAAAGCUGCAAUGUGAUUUAAAUUCAGUGUUGCAUAGCUAUCUGGGUCCUGGUUCUAUAUUCUCGACACACACAGACAGAGAAGUCAAUUGAAGUUCAAAAAAGUUUUGGGAGUGAUGCAAGGAAUGCACACUUCUGUUUACACAUAACAUUUUCAAUGCACUUUCUUAAAAUGCUUUAUGA